rnacentral:rRNA from 1 species
AGCAGCCGCGGUAAUUCCAGCUCCAAUAGCGUAUAUUAAAGUUGCUGCAGUUAAAAAGCUCGUAGUUGAAUUUCGGGACCAUCAUGUCGGUCGUGCCUCGGUACGUACUGGCAUUGUUGGUUUCUACCUUCUGACGAACCAUGAUGUCAUUUAUUUGGUGUCGUGGGAAAUCAGGACUGUUACUUUGAAAAAUUAGAGUGUUUAAAGCAGGCUCACGCUUGAAUACAUUAGCAUGGAAUAAUGAAAUAGGACGUUUGAUUCUAUUUUGUUGGUUUCUAGGAUCGACGUAAUGAUUAAUAGGGAUAGUUGGGGGCAUUAGUAUUCAAUUGUCAGAGGUGAAAUUCUUGGAUUUAUUGAAGACUAACUACUGCGAAAGCAUUUGCCAAGGAUGUUUUCAUUAAUCAAGAACGAAAGUUAGGGGAUCGAAGACGAUCAGAUACCGUCGUAGUCUUA